CAAAGCCAAGCUGGGCUUCCAGUGCGCGGACUGUGAGAAGAGCUUCCAGCGACACGACUAUCUGGUGAGGCACCGCAGACACUGUCAUCUAAAGGACGAGACUCGUCCCUUCCAGUGUCGGUACUGUGUCAAAACUUUCCGACAGAAUUACGACCUCCUCCGCCAUGAGCGCCUGCACAUGAAGCGGCGCUCUAAGCAGGCUCUGAACUCAUACUGAGCAGGGUGUGGCCCCACAAGCUAGCCCCUGCCCCAGCACAGAACCCUCACCACCUGCCCUUUGCUCUCAGGUAGUGUCCAACUUCUGGUGCCAUGCCUCUUCCUCCCGAGAUAAAAAGCAGUCCCCUGAGCAUUCCUUCCUUCUACUGUGCCAAAACCCAGGGAGGUAAGGCAACUCUAGCCUCAGAUCUACAUCUCAGAUGUCCAGCUACUCAGCCACUUUCUCUGGCCCUCAGAGGGACUGGGCUGUCCCAUCCCAGUGACUUCUAGGGGUAUGGUGUCUACAAUAGGGAGCUGACCAAAAGCACUGACCUAUCCUCAGAAGUCAGCCUGGGGUGACUAGCCAGGGGAGCGUCCCACAGGUGCAGAUGGCCAGGCCACUGACCAUCAGGAGGUCACAUUUUAAAAGUUCAUGCAUCUAUCCCCACAUGUCUUCUUUGUACUCCAAGACCCUUCAGAAACGUGUGAUGGAAGCUGCCUGUCACCAAGCACAUCCCUCCCCACUCUGUCUAGGAGUUGAGAGCCUUCAAGGCGCUUCUGCUAGGUAAGCCAAGCCCUGGAACAGAAGCUUCUAAAGUCUUGUCCUUCAUGGGUAGUGACUCCCAGGCAUUUGCUUUAGUCCUAGCACUGACAUAAGUAACUAGUACUAAACGUAGGCUCUUCUAACAGCACGUGGCAUUGUUACAGUUAUGGAAUUUGCAAGGCCAAGGUCUGGUGUCAGUGGGCUGGUUCUCUCCGAAGCUAGAAGAGUGAAUCCUCUUGGGUCUGAUGGUCACUGACACUUGUGUGUACCCCAGGGCUUGUACAAACAUCUCUCCAUCUUUGCCUUCAUCUCCACUGCGUCGGUCUCCAAACUUACCUUCUGUACAAGGAUCCCAGUCUUUGGGUUGGGGCUCACCCUGUCUACUGUAGCAGAGCCCCACCUUCAUCUGGAGUGGCCAUUUCCAAAUAAAGUCACAUCCUGAGGUACUAGGAGUAAGGACCUCAACACUGGGGUUUGAGUGGACGUAGCCAACUCCAGCUAAUCCCGUGGUGCUGUUGCAUUCCUGCCUUGGGUGAACCAGUGCGACCUUGCGGCAGCGUGCUUGCAUUCCUCUGCGUGUUGAGCUCGGUUGUCUGCUUUCAGACUGCUGUCCUCUCUCUGCCAAGGAGAAUCUUCAUCCAUGGCCUUUAAGUUCAAAGCCUGAGAUUCUGGGAAUGGUUGUUGUUAGGAAACCUAAAGCAACCAAACAUGUGGUCCCGCACACUGGUGUCGGCCAGGCUCAAUGUCGCUGUGGCUGGACCUGACUGCAGGCAGCCUUGAGCUAUAACAGCUCUCACAGUCAGGAGGUCUGGGAAAAUGAAUUCAAGGCCUCUGGUGCUCUCUCUCCUGAUUUUUUCACAUCAAGAAGCCUGUAGUCCAGACCCUCAAAGACUAUAAGACUUUAUAACAGUUUCUUUUUCUGCUCAGUGCAUUGCCCAGAAAUAGUAAAUGCAAUAAAACCAUUUGGUCACAUCUUGGAGAAGAAAUAAACUGUUGAAGCUCUUAGUUUCUAAA
rnacentral:lncRNA from 1 species